rnacentral:rRNA from 1 species
GACGAACGCUGGCGGCGUGCUUAACACAUGCAAGUCGAACGGAAAGGCCCUGCUUUUGUGGGGUGCUCGAGUGGCGAACGGGUGAGUAACACGUGAGUAACCUGCCCUUGACUUUGGGAUAACUUCAGGAAACUGGGGCUAAUACCGGAUAGGAGCUCCUGCUGCAUGGUGGGGGUUGGAAAGUUUCGGCGGAUGGGGAUGGACUCGCGGCUUAUCAGCUUGUUGGUGGGGUAGUGGCUUACCAAGGCUUUGACGGGUAGCCGGCCUGAGAGGGUGACCGGCGACAUUGGGACUGAGAUACGGCCCAGACUCCUACGGGAGGCAGCAGUGGGGAAUAUUGCACAAUGGGCGGAAGCCUGAUGCAGCAACGCCGCGUGCGGGAUGACGGCCUUCGGGUUGUAAACCGCUUUCGCCUGUGACGAAGCGUGAGUGACGGUAAUGGGUAAAGAAGCACCGGCUAACUACGUG